rnacentral:rRNA from 1 species
UAAGGAAUAUUGGGCAAUGGCCGAGAGGCUGACCCAGCCAUGCCGCGUGCAGGAAGACGGCCUUAUGGGUUGUAAACUGCUUUUUUAUGGGAAUAACCACUCUUACGUGUAGGGGUCUGCAAGUACCAUAAGAAUAAGCAUCGGCUAACUCCGUGCCAGCAGCCGCGGUAAUACGGAGGAUGCAAGCGUUAUCCGGAAUUAUUGGGUUUAAAGGGUGCGUAGGCGGACUGGUAAGUCAGUGGUGAAAUUCUUGGGCUUAACCUGAGACCUGCCAUUGAUACUGCUGGUCUUGAGUGUAGUUGAUGUUGGCGGAAUGUGUCAUGUAGCGGUGAAAUGCAUAGAUAUGACACAGAACACCGAUAGCGAAGGCAGCUGACAAAACUAUAACUGACGCUGAGGCACGAAAGCGUGGGGAUCAAACAGGAUUAGAUACCCUGGUAGUCCACGCCGUAAACGAUGAUCACUAGCUGUAUGCGAUACACUGUAUGUGGCUAAGGGAAACCGAUAAGUGAUCCACCUGGGGAGUACGUCCGCAAGGAUG